rnacentral:rRNA from 2 species
UGAUUGGUGCUUGCAUCAUGAUUUACAUUUGAGUGAGUGGCGAACUGGUGAGUAACACGUGGGAAACCUGCCCAGAAGCGGGGGAUAACACCUGGAAACAGAUGCUAAUACCGCAUAACAACUUGGACCGCAUGGUCCGAGUUUGAAAGAUGGCUUCGGCUAUCACUUUUGGAUGGUCCCGCGGCGUAUUAGCUAGAUGGUGGGGUAACGGCUCACCAUGGCAAUGAUACGUAGCCGACCUGAGAGGGUAAUCGGCCACAUUGGGACUGAGACACGGCCCAAACUCCUACGGGAGGCAGCAGUAGGGAAUCUUCCACAAUGGACGAAAGUCUGAUGGAGCAACGCCGCGUGAGUGAAGAAGGGUUUCGGCUCGUAAAACUCUGUUGUUAAAGAAGAACAUAUCUGAGAGUAACUGUUCAGGUAUUGACGGUAUUUAACCAGAAAGCCACGGCUAACUACGUGCCAGCAGCCGCGGUAAUACGUAGGUGGCAAGCGUUGUCCGGAUUUAUUGGGCGUAAAGCGAGCGCAGGCGGUUUUUUAAGUCUGAUGUGAAAGCCUUCGGCUCAACCGAAGAAGUGCAUCGGAAACUGGGAAACUUGAGUGCAGAAGAGGACAGUGGAACUCCAUGUGUAGCGGUGAAAUGCGUAGAUAUAUGGAAGAACACCAGUGGCGAAGGCGGCUGUCUGGUCUGUAACUGACGCUGAGGCUCGAAAGUAUGGGUAGCAAACAGGAUUAGAUACCCUGGUAGUCCAUACCGUAAACGAUGAAUGCUAAGUGUUGGAGGGUUUCCGCCCUUCAGUGCUGCAGCUAACGCAUUAAGCAUUCCGCCUGGGGAGUACGGCCGCAAGGCUGAAACUCAAAGGAAUUGACGGGGGCCCGCACAAGCGGUGGAGCAUGUGGUUUAAUUCGAAGCUACGCGAAGAACCUUACCAGGUCUUGACAUACUAUGCAAAUCUAAGAGAUUAGACGUUCCCUUCGGGGACAUGGAUACAGGUGGUGCAUGGUUGUCGUCAGCUCGUGUCGUGAGAUGUUGGGUUAAGUCCCGCAACGAGCGCAACCCUUAUUAUCAGUUGCCAGCAUUAAGUUGGGCACUCUGGUGAGACUGCCGGUGACAAACCGGAGGAAGGUGGGGAUGACGUCAAAUCAUCAUGCCCCUUAUGACCUGGGCUACACACGUGCUACAAUGGAUGGUACAACGAGUUGCGAACUCGCGAGAGUAAGCUAAUCUCUUAAAGCCAUUCUCAGUUCGGAUUGUAGGCUGCAACUCGCCUACAUGAAGUCGGAAUCGCUAGUAAUCGCGGAUCAGCAUGCCGCGGUGAAUACGUUCCCGGGCCUUGUACACACCGCCCGUCACACCAUGAGAGUUUGUAACACCCAAAGUCG